rnacentral:rRNA from 1 species
GAGUUUGAUCCUGGCUCAGAUUGAACGCUGGCGGCAUGCCUUACACAUGCAAGUCGAACGGCAGCACGGGAGCUUGCUCCUGGUGGGCGAGUGGCGAACGGGUGAGUAAUGCAUCGGAACGUAUCCUGGAGUGGGGGAUAACAUAGCGAAAGUUACGCUAAUACCGCGUAUUCUGUGAGCAGGAAAGCGGGGGACCUUCGGGCCUCGCGCUCUUGGAGCGGCCGAUGUCGGAUUAGCUAGUUGGUGAGGUAAAGGCUCACCAAGGCGACGAUCCGUAGCAGGUCUGAGAGGAUGAUCUGCCACACUGGAACU